rnacentral:rRNA from 1 species
GAUGAACGCUGGCGGCGUGCCUAAUACAUGCAAGUCGAGCGGACAGACGAGGCUCUUGCUGCUCUCUCGUUAGGCGCGGACGGGUGAGUAACACGUGGAUAACCCCCUUAUCAGUGGGGUAUAUCCACGGGACACGGGAGAAUAUAGGGGAUGAGCUCUUGCAGCAUGGUGUGGGAUGGAAAGAUUCGGCGGUGGGGGAUGGACUCGCGGCAUAUCAGCUUGUUGGUGGGGUAGUGGCGUACCAAGGCUUUGACGGGUAGCCGGCCUGAGAGGGUGACCGGCCACAUUGGGACUGAGAUACGGCCCAGACUCCUACGGGAGGCAGCAGUGGGGAAUAUUGCACAAUGGGCGGAAGCAUGAUGCAGCAACGCCGCGUGCGGGAUGACGGCCUUCGGGUUGUAAACCGCUUUCGCCUGUGACGAAGCGUGAGUGACGGUAAUGGGUAAAGAAGCACCGGCUAACUACGUG